AAGACAACAACAGUGUGAGCAGAAGAAUGCAACUCCCACCCAUGCAGCAAGCCAUCCUCAAUGCACGUUUUCAGCCUGGCCACACAAGCCUCUGGGCCAGAAUAAAGCAGGUGAGCAAGAGGUUGUGCAUGCAAGGCCAAAGCUGGAGCUGCAUGCCCACCAAAGCCACAGUUGAAGACUGCUGGUGUAUUCCUUUGGAGCCCAAAAGUAUAUCAAUUUCAUGGCACAAAGGUUCAUCUUUCUACUACCAGUCCAC